rfam:TPA: Bos taurus chromosome 16, whole genome shotgun sequence.
GUCACAUCUUAAACAAUCAGCUUUAAAGUGUCUUUCUGCAGCUUUCCAGAAGCACAAGACAGACU